rnacentral:rRNA from 1 species
GAUGAACGCUGGCGGCGUGCCUAAUACAUGCAAGUCGAGCGAACGGACGAGAAGCUUGCUUCUCUGAUGUUAGCGGCGGACGGGUGAGUAACACGUGGAUAACCUACCUAUAAGACUGGGAUAACUUCGGGAAACCGUAGCUAAUACCGGAUAAUAUUUUGAACCGCAUGGUUCAAAAGUGAAAGACGGUCUUGCUGUCACUUAUAGAUGGAUCCGAGCUGCAUUAGCUAGUUGGUAAGGUAACGGCUUACCAAGGCAACGAGGGGUAGCCGACCUGAGAGCGUGACCACCCACACUGGGACGGCGCGCCGUCCCCGACUCCUACGGGACGCAGCAGUGGGAAAUAUUGCACAAUGGGCGUAAGCCGGAUGUAGAGACGCCGCGGGCGGUAUGACGGCCUUCGGGUUGUAAACCUCUUUCACCAGGGACGAAGCGCAAGUGACGGUACCUGGAGAAGAAGCCACGGCCAACUACGUG